rnacentral:lncRNA from 1 species
UUUUUCUCCCUUUCUCUUAGUUUUUUUUGUUUGGGUUCACUUUGGUUUAUUGUUUUUGGAUGUGCAUGAUUUUAGGUGUGGUAUAUAAGACAAUCUAGUCGAAUCCAUGAGCGACGACUCCGGAAUCUACACAAUAAUCAAUCAUCACCUCAAGCUAUGUUUCCUCCUCAUCGACAACCAGAAAGUCUACCCGUCCUCAACCUAGAGGUUGUCAUACCUCUAUCUUUACCACCUCG